UUUAGACGAGGAGCGUUUGGUCCCGACAAACAGUAUGCGUGCAUGUACCGCCGUGGUGACUGAGAUAUCUUUCAACCAUGCACCAAACCGUUACAGAGCAGAGAUUGAAUUUAUUUCUUUGGCAGAGUGGGAGGAGGAAUUAAAAUUAAUUUUUGGUGAUAUCGAACUUGGGAAUCAACAGAAGGGAGAUAAUUCCGACUCUGCGAUUGCUCGAGCAAAAACGACUGCGGUAUACCCGGACACCCCAGACAUUCUAAAAUCGUCGAUCAAAGAGCUUUUAGUACAUGAAAAUGUGUCAAAUGUUCUAGGGAAAACGAUUGAAUUCGCCGAAGAUGAUCCGAUUGUUUUCUACACCCAACUUCAGAAAUACGUUGACAGCAAAACCAAGACCCGAGGCAAAGGCAUGAAGGGGAAGAGCAAAACUGGUGGUCAAAAAGGUUGUAAUGGAGGUUUGCGGAACGCGAAGGAAAGCGUGGGAACCAGCAUGGAAUUUUGGCCUUUGAUACGCAUCGUUCGCUUGUACGUCAAGGCGCCUGUUCUUGCUACCGGAGCUGCUAUUGUCGACUUGCCUGGCAUGCAGGAUGCCAAUGCUGCGAGAGCUGCAGUUGCGUCUCGAUACAUUGAACAAUGCUCCUCUCUUUGGGUGGUGGCUCCCAUAACGCGGGCAGUGGAUGAUAAAACAGCGAAGACCCUUCUCUCAAAUAAUUUCCAAAGACGGAUCCAAAUGGACGGCACCCUUAGUGCAGUGACAUUCAUAUGUUCCAAAACUGAUGAUAUUAAUUUAUCAGAAAUGGUUCUUGAUUUUGAGGAUAU
rnacentral:sRNA from 2 species